AAAAAACACGGGGCUGACUCAAGUUUUCCUUUUUCAAUGGAUGUCUAUGAGGGAAAAGUGGUUGAUGUCAAAAAACAUGGGGUUUACUCAGUUAAAUGUAUUGUUUGCUAUUCAAUCGAAAUUUCAUAAGAGAAGAAAGCGUAGAUAAGAGCCUCUUCCAAUUCUUUAGAAAGUUGACCCAGAAAGCAGCGCCCAAAGAGCUC
rnacentral:lncRNA from 1 species